rnacentral:rRNA from 1 species
CCUCGGGUGGCUGCAGUGGGGAAUAUUGCACAAUGGACGAAAGUCUGAUGCAGCAACGCCGCGUGGAGGAUGACACAUUUCGGUGCGUAAACUCCUUUUAUAUAGGAAGAUAAUGACGGUACUAUAUGAAUAAGCGCCGGCUAACUCCGUGCCAGCAGCCGCGGUAAUACGGAGGGCGCAAGCGUUACUCGGAAUCACUGGGCGUAAAGAGCGUGUAGGCGGAUAGAUAAGUCAGGAGUGAAAUCCUAUGGCUCAACCAUAGAACUGCUCUUGAAACUGUCUAUCUAGAAUAUGGGAGAGGUAGAUGGAAUUUCUGGUGUAGGGGUAAAAUCCGUAGAGAUCAGAAGGAAUACCGAUUGCGAAGGCGAUCUACUUGGGCAUUAUUGACGCUGAGACGCGAAAGCGUGGGGAGCAAACAGGAUUAGAUACCCGUGUAGUC